CAUAGAGCAGCGAACGGGUGAGUAACGCGUGGGGAAUCUGCCUUUGAGCGGGGGACAACAUUUGGAAACGAAUGCUAAUACCGCAUAACAACUUUAAACACAAGUUUUAAGUUUGAAAGAUGCAAUUGCAUCACUCAAAGAUGAUCCCGCGUUGUAUUAGCUAGUUGGUGAGGUAAAGGCUCACCAAGGCGAUGAUACAUAGCCGACCUGAGAGGGUGAUCGGCCACAUUGGGACUGAGACACGGCCCAACUCCUACGGGAGGCAGCAGUAGGGAAUCUUCGGCAAUGGACGAAAGUCUGACCGAGCAACGCCGCGUGAGUGAAGAAGGUUUUCGGAUCGUAAAACUCUGUUGGUAGAGAAGAACGUUGGUGAGAGUGGAAAGCUCAUCAAGUGACGGUACUACCCAGAAAGGGACGGCUAACUACGUGCCAGCAGCCGCGGUAAUACGUAGGUCCCGAGCGUUGUCCGGAUUUAUUGGGCGUAAGCGAGCGCAGGUGGUUUAUUAAGUCUGGUGUAAAAGGCAGUGGCUCACCCAUUGUAUGCAUUGAACUGGUAGACUUGAGUGCAGGAAGGAGAGUGAAUUCCAUGUGUAGCGGUGAAUGCGUAGAUUAUGAGGAACACCGGUGGCGAAGCGGCUCUCUGGCCUGUAACUGACACUGAGGCUCGAAGCGUGGGGGAGCAAAACAGGAUUAGAUACCCUGGUAGUCCACCGCCGUAACGAUAUGCUAGAUGUAGGGAGCUUAUAGUUCUCCUGUAUCCGCAGCUACGC
rnacentral:rRNA from 1 species